GGUGGCUCAGUGGUAGAGUGCUUGCCUUGCAUGCAUAAGGCCCUGGGUUCGAUUCCUUAGCACCA
rfam:Dipodomys ordii contig_41377, whole genome shotgun sequence.